rnacentral:rRNA from 1 species
AUUGAACGCUGGCGGCAGGCCUAACACAUGCAAGUCGAACGAGUGGCGGACGGGUGAGUAAUGUAUGGGAAACUGCCUGAUUGAGGGGGAUAACUACUGGCAACAGUAGCUAAUACCGCAUACCAUCAGAUGUGCCCAGAUGUGAUUAGCUUGUUGUUGGGGUACCGGCUCACCAAGGCGACGAUCCCUAGCUGGUUUGAGAGGAUGACCAGCCACACUGGGACUGAGACACGGACCAGACUCCUACGGGAGGCAGCAGUGGGGAAUAUUGCACAAUGGGCGCAAGCCGUAUGCAGCCAUGCCGCGUGUAUGAAGAAGGCCGUAGGGUUUUAAAGUACUUUAAGCGGGGAUGCGUUAUCCGCAGAAGAAGCACCGGCUAACUCCGUGCCAGCAGCCGCGGUAAUAC